rnacentral:lncRNA from 1 species
AAUAUGCCAAAUUUAUGGGAUGCAGUGAAAGCAACUACGCAAAGUAAUUCAUAGCUAUAAACACACCCAAAAAGACCUCAGCUGGGAUGUAGCUCAAUGGUAAAGCACUUGCCCAGCACGCACAGGCCCUGGGUUCCACUCCCAGCACCACAAAAUAAUAACAAAAAUGAUAAUGAUAACAACAACAACCUAACUCUAAAUCUUAAGAAGAAACAAGAUAAACUAAAACCAAAGACAGCAAAAGGAAAGAAAUAAUAAAGAUUAAAGCAGAAAUAAAUAAAAUAGAGAAUAAGAAACUAAAGAGAAAAAUCAAUGAUUCUUUGAAAAGGAAUCUUUGACAAAUCUUUACUUAGAUUCACUAUGAAAAAGAGAAAGGACUUAAGACAACUAAAACCAGAAGUGAAAGAGAAAGCAUUACUACCAUUGCCACAGAAAUAAAAAGGAUCACACUGAGUACUUUGAAUAAUUAUAUAUCAACACACUGAAUAACCUAGAUAAAAUGGAUGAUUCUUUAAAAAAUGAACUUUAUAGAAAUAGAAAAACUCUGUAUAGACUUACAACUAAUAAGAAGAUUGAAUCAGUGAUCAGAAAUCUCUUGAAAACAAAAAACUCAGGACUGGAUGGUUUUCUAGGUGAAUUCUUUUAUACAUUUAAAGAAGAAUUAACACCAAUUUUUUCAAGUUCUUCCAAAAAAAUUACAGAGGAAGGAACACUUCGUAAUUUAUUUUGAGACUAGCACUACCAUGAUGC